AUAAGGAGUAGAGGUGCAUUGUUUAUCAGUAACUAAUAUGAGAGUGAUACCGAUGACUAUUAGUGAAAGGAACCAAUGCCGAAGUAAGAAAUGUAUAUCAAAUAUUCUUACUGGGAUUACAUUGAAUAAGUGUAAUACUGCCAUAGUCGAUAAAAUAUAACUAUGGAGCGCUACUGUAGAG
rfam:Photobacterium iliopiscarium strain ATCC 51761 CFSAN029430_contig0018, whole genome shotgun sequence.